GUGAGGGCAAAGGGCCAGUGUGACAGUCUUUCUGGGUACCCACACUCGGUGGGUCCUGAGCUCUUUUCCAGCACCCAAGAAGAAUGAGGUGACGCUUGAUGAUUAAAGGAUGGUGAGGGCGGAGAAAUUUAUUGAGCAAUGGAACAGCUGUCAGUAGAGAGGGGAGCUGGAGAGGGAAUGGGAAGGGCAGGUCAUCUUCCCCCGAAGUCGGGAGUUCUCUUCCCUGAAGUCAGGCUGUCUCCCUGUCUCCCCUCUACCGACUGAGUCUGAGAUCUGUAUAGGCACAGGAUGGGGGUGGGGUGGGUCAUAGGUAGUAUUGGAAAAGGCAACAUUUGAUUGGUUGAAAGGCAUUAUUCAGAAAGAACCAAUCAGGAGAGAGCAGGCAAACAAGAAUAGAAGUUCUCACUCUGGUCUGCGGGUUUUAGGCUGUUUUUGGCUUGAAGGUGGGGUUUCACUGGGGACCCACCCCUAUCUUCCUAGGAUUUCUUUGCCUCCUGCCUCUAUUAAUUUGCAAGCAACACAAGCUCAUGAAGGGGCUCCAGUCCCUCUCCAGAUUCCAGGGCUUUGUGGUGUGGCAGGAUGAGUGGCCACACUUGAAAGACUCAGGAGACAGCGAGGUUUAACCUAAAGCCAUGAGCUGGGAAUCCACUCAAGCAGGAGGCUGAAAAUGCAAAUAUAGGAAAGUACAGUGACUGUGGAGUGGGGAUGCUGCAAGAUUAGAAACAAUCGGCAAUCACAAGAU
rnacentral:lncRNA from 10 species